AAAUGGAUUUUGCUGUGAAUAUUUUGAUCGAUCACUACAUUUUAUUUUAACAAUGAAACUUUGGAUACUUGCUUGUUUGUGUUCUUUAAACAGUUUGAUGGUGUUCUGUGAAAAUGUGUAUGGAGAUGGUGUUUGCAUAAAAGGAGACACCCGGUCAUGCUGCAAGGACUUCAAACCUGUUGGAAACAUGUGUGUAGAAUGUGAUCCUGGGUACCGCGGCUAUAAUUGUUCCGAGACCUGUCCUCCCAACCACUAUGGACGAAGAUGUUAUGGUGUAUGUGACUGUACACCCUAUCAGUAUUGUGAUUCAGAAAAGGGGUGCUUGUGUAACACGACCAGCGAUAAUUGUGCAU